UGCGAAAGCGUGGGGAGCAAACAGGAUUAGAUACCCUGGUAGUCCACGCCGUAAACGAUGUCGAUUUGGAGGUUGUGCCCUUGAGGCGUGCUUCCGGAGCUAACGCGUUAAAUCGACGCCUGGGGAGUACGGCCGCAAGGUUAAAACUCAAAUGAAUUGACGGGGGCCCGCACAAGCGGUGGAGCAUGUGGUUUAAUUCGAUGCAACGCGAAGAACCUUACCUGGUCUUGACAUCCACAGAACUUUCCAGAGAUGGAUUGGUGCCUUCGGGAACUGUGAGACAGGUGCUGCAUGGCUGUCGUCAGCUCGUGUUGUGAAAUGUUGGGUUAAGUCCCGCAACGAGCGCAACCCUUAUC
rnacentral:rRNA from 1 species